AUACUUACCUGCAAGGGAGAUACCUUGAUCCUGAAGGAGGUUUUCCCAGGUGAGGCUCAUCCAUUGCACUCUGGGUGUGCUGACCUCUGCAAUUUCCUCAAAUGUGGGAAACUCAACUGCAUAAAAUGAGAUUUGUUUAUUCUUUCGCUUUUCAGCUAAGGUGAU